rnacentral:rRNA from 1 species
UGCCUACGGGGGGCAGCAGUAGGGAAUCUUCCACAAUGGACGAAAGUCUGAUGGAGCAACGCCGCGUGAGUGAAGAAGGGUUUCGGCUCGUAAAGCUCUGUUGGGAGUGAAGAAAGAUAGAGGGAGUAACUGGCCUUUAUUUGACGGUAAUUAAUUAGAAAGUCACGGCUAACUACGUGCCAGCAGCCGCGGUAAUACGUAGGUGGCAAGCGUUGUCCGGGUUUAUUGGGCGGAAAGCGAGUGCAGGCGG